GGCGUCGUCCCCGUCUGCCGGCCACGGUUUCGUGUGUCAGUGCAGGUGCGGCACGCCAUCCAUCCACACCCCCCACACUGCUCUUCAUUGCGUGGUGUGGGAGGGUGGAUCUUUUACUUUGAAAAAAUUAGAGUGUUUCAAGCAGGCGCAAUGCUAUGAAUACAUUAGCAUGGAAUAAUAAUUUAGGACUUCGGUUCUAUUUUGUUGGUUUCUAGGACUGAAGUA
rnacentral:rRNA from 1 species